rnacentral:misc_RNA from 1 species
UACGGAGGGUGCGAGCGUUAAUCGGAAUUACUGGGCGUAAAGCGCGCGUAGGCGGCUGGGUAAGCCGGUUGUGAAAGCCCCGGGCUUAACCUGGGAACGGCAUCCGGGACUGUAAGGCUAGAGUGUAGGAGAGGGAGGUAGAAUUCCCGGUGUAGCGGUGAAAUGCGUAGAGAUCGGGAGGAAUACCGGUGGCGAAGGCGGCCUUCUGGACUGAUACUGACACUGAGGUGCGAAAGCGUGGGUAGCAAACAGG